rnacentral:piRNA from 1 species
UCUCACGAGAUGAGCCCAUAUCAAUCCUU